rnacentral:rRNA from 1 species
GUCCACGCCCUAAACGAUGUCAACUGGUUGUUGGGUGACUUGAUCACUUAGUAACGUAGCUAACGCGCGAAGUUGACCGCCUGGGGAGUACGGUCGCAAGAUUAAAACUCAAAGGAAUUGACGGGGGCCCGCACAAGCGGUGGAUGAUGUGGAUUAAUUCGAUGCAACGCGAAAACCUUACCUACCCUUGACAUGCCAGGAAUCCUGCAGAGAUGUGGGAGUGCCCGAAAGGGAGCCUGGACACAGGUGCUGCAUGGCUGUCGU